AGCUGAUGCAUUCUUGGUGGCUCCUCCUCCCCCGCCACCGCAUUAGCUGUUCCCCUCUGGAGGUUCUUAUUACCUUCACAACUACAAGGGCCCAAGUUUUCUUGAGGCCCUCUUUU
rnacentral:sRNA from 1 species